AGGACGAACGCUGGCGGCGUGCUUAACACAUGCAAGUUGAGCGGAAAGGCCCUUCGGGGUACUCGAGCGGCGAACGGGUGAGUAACACGUGAGCAACCUGCCCCUGGCUCUGGGAUAGCCUCCGGAAACGGGGAUUAAUACCGGAUAUUCACUGUCUCCUGCAUGGGGGGUGGUGGAAAGUUUUUCGGCUAGGGUGGGGCUCGCGGCCUAUCAGCUUGUUGGGGGGGUGACGGCCCCACCAAGGCGACGACGGGGUAG
rnacentral:rRNA from 1 species